rnacentral:lncRNA from 12 species
GGGUAUGGGUUUGGGUUUGGUUUUCCCCCUGCUGUUGGUUCUCUGCUGGCCCUAGCCUGCACAAAAUUGUGGAGGAAAAUCAGCCUUCUCCUACCAUGGCUCCAGAGAGAAGAUGUUUUCCUUUGAUGGGCACCAAAACACCUGGGCUUGCCUUUCCUGACUGGAAGAGUGAAAUUCCCUAAAGAGACUCACAAAUACAGGCCAAAUCAGUCGUUUCAGGAGAAAAG